rnacentral:sRNA from 1 species
CCUCGUGGAUCUGGGACGGCGACAGGAAGUGCACGUGGAGAUCGAUCCCGCCCGCGGUGAGGAUCUUCCCCUCGCCCGACACCACGUCGGUGGACGGGCCGAUCUGCAGGUCCGGGUGCACGCCGUCCGCGACGUCGGGGUUGCCGGCGCGGCCGAGCGCGACGAUGCGGCCGUCGCGAAUCCCGACGUCCGCCUUCACGACUCCCCACCAGUCGAGGACGAUCGCGUUGGUGAUGACGGUGUCGGGUGCGCCCUGCGCGCGCGUCGUCGUGCCUUGCGCCAUCGACUCG